UACGUAGGGGCGAGCGUUGUCCGGAAUGAUUGGGCGUAAAGGGCGCGUAGGCGGCUGAGCAAGUCUGGAGUGAAAGUCCUAUUUUCAAGGUAGGAAUUGCUUUGGAGACUGCUUAGCUUGAGUGCAGGAGAGGUUAUCGGAAUUCCCGGUGUAGCGGUGAAAUGCGUAGAGAUUGGGAGGAACACCAGUGGCGAAGGCGGGUAACUGGACUGCAACUGACGCUGAGGCGCGAAAGUGUGGGGAGCAAACAGGAUUAGAUACCCUGGUA
rnacentral:rRNA from 1 species